GAUGAACGCUAGCUACAGGCUUAACACAUGCAAGUCGCGGGGCAGCAUGGGGGUUGCUUGCAAUCCCCGAUGGCGACCGGCGCACGGGUGAGUAACGCGUAUCCAACCUGCCCUUCACCACGGGAUAACCCGGCGAAAGUCGGACUAAUACCGUAUGUUGUCCAUUGACGGCAUCCGAUUUGGACGAAAGGCUUGGCGGUGAGGGAUGGGGAUGCGUCCGAUUAGCCAGACGGCGGGGUAACGGCCCACCGUGGCUACGAUCGGUAGGGGUUCUGAGAGGAAGGUCCCCCACACUGAACUGAGACACGGUCCAGACUCCUACGGGAGGCAGCAGUGAGGAAUAUUGGUCAAUGGGCGUAAGCCUGAACCAGCCAAGUAGCGUGCAGGAUGACGGCCCUAUGGGUUGUAAACUGCUUUUAUGCGGGGAUAAAGUGGCCCACGUGUGGGCUUUUGCAGGUACCGCAUGAAUAAGGACCGGCUAAUUCCGUG
rnacentral:rRNA from 1 species